CUACCGUCUACCUGUCGCUGAACAUCAGUGAUCGGGUUUGGUAGCCCGGCUG
rnacentral:ncRNA from 1 species